rnacentral:rRNA from 1 species
UACGUAGGGUGCAAGCGUUGUCCGGAAUUAUUGGGCGUAAAGAGCUCGUAGGCGGUCUGUCGCGUCGGCUGUGAAAACCUGGGGCUCAACUCCGGGCCUGCAGCCGAUACGGGCAGACUAGAAUUCGGUAGGGGAGACUGGAAUUCCUGGUGUAGCGGUGAAAUGCGCAGAUAUCAGGAGGAACACCGGUGGCGAAGGCGGGUCUCUGGGCCGAUAUUGACGCUGAGGAGCGAAAGCGUGGGGGAGCGAACAGG